rnacentral:rRNA from 1 species
UACAGAGGUCUCAAGCGUUGUUCGGAUUCACUGGGCGUAAAGGGUGCGUAGGCGGUGAGGGAAGUCGGAUGUGAAAGCUCGGAGCUCAACUCCGAAAUGGCAUUGGAAACUACCUUGCUCGAGGGUUGGAGGGGGGACUGGAAUACUUGGUGUAGCAGUGAAAUGCGUAGAUAUCAAGUGGAACACCAGUGGCGAAGGCGAGUCCCUGGACAUCUCCUGACACUGAGGCACGAAAGCUAGGGGAGCAAACAGG